rnacentral:rRNA from 1 species
CAGCAGCCGCGUAAUACAGAGGGUGCGAGCGUUAAUCGGAUUUACUGGGCGUAAAGCGUGCGUAGGCGGCUUUUUAAGUCGGAUGUGAAAUCCCUGAGCUUAACUUAGGAAUUGCAUUCGAUACUGGGAAGCUAGAGUAUGGGAGAGGAUGGUAGAAUUCCAGGUGUAGCGGUGAAAUGCGUAGAGAUCUGGAGGAAUACCGAUGGCGAAGGCAGCCAUCUGGCCUAAUACUGACGCUGAGGUACGAAAGCAUGGGGAGCAAACAGGAUUAGAUACCCCAGUAGUCCCUGUCUCUUAUACA